GGCUUAUUGAAACAUCAAAUUUGGCUUUGUCCAAAUGCUUAUUCAAGUUCAUUCAUCAAACAACUUUGAAAACAAAUUUAAGUUCAAUCACCAGAACCGCCAUUUCCAUAUACUCUUAUGCUCAACUCAAAAAAAUUGAAAACUGAAAUACAUCAUUUUGUAUAGGUUGGCUUCACUGAAGCAUUAUGAAACAAACACUUAUUCGAGAAAACACAUAAAUAUGCAUAAAAUAAUCAUACGGAUUAUUAGUUGAAUACAUAUAUUGAGA
rnacentral:misc_RNA from 1 species